GAUGAACGCUGGCGGCGUGCCUAAUACAUGCAAGUCGAGCGAACAGGCGAGGAGCUUGCUCCUCUGACGUUAGCGGCGGACGGGUGAGUAACACGUGGAUAACCUACCUAUAAGACUGGGAUAACUUCGGGAAACCGGAGCUAAUACCGGAUAAUAUAUUGAACCGCAUGGUUCAAUAGUGAAAGACGGUUUUGCUGUCACUUAUAGAUGGAUCCGCGCCGCAUUAGCUAGUUGGUAAGGUAACGGCUUACCAAGGCAACGAUGCGUAGCCGACCUGAGAGGGUGAUCGGCCACACUGGAACUGAGACACGGUCCAGACUCCUACGGGAGGCAGCAGUAGGGAAUCUUCCGCAAUGGGCGAAAGCUUGACGGAGCAACGCCGCGUGAGUGAUGAAGGUCUUCGGAUCGUAAAACUCUGUCAUUAGGGAAGAACAAAUGUGUAAGUAACUAUGCACGUCUUGACGGUACCUAAUCAGAAAGCCACGGCUAACUACGUG
rnacentral:rRNA from 1 species